rnacentral:lncRNA from 1 species
GAACUGUAAGGCGACACCGCGGUUCAUUUGUGUUGCGACCUUUGGCGCAAAAUGACGCUCGUUACAAUGGAAUGUUGGAAACGAUAUUCUAGUUCAUUUGGUUAAGAAAAAUGCUGAACAGAAGCAGUUAUUACUUUGUAGAAGACUUCUCUUGGAAUGAGAGUCUGUGAUAGAAGAACUUAGCCGCAAGGACUAGCAAACGUCACAAUGGAGAAUCGGCGCAUUCAAAGCUACGAUGCCACAGAUAGACGGAUACACAGACACGUCAUACGGCAAACGUAUCACAUCCGGUUUUUUAUUUUUAAUUAAAAAAGUUAAAUCCACACGGAUACGUUGUUCUUACUUCAUAUAAGUUAAUUCAAGACUAAUCCUCUACGACGAACGUUACCCAUGAGUUUAUGUAUUCUCAGGACUAUAAAGGUAAUUUAUUGAGCCACUCUCAUUCUUUGCAGUUUUACAUUGUUGUCUUCCAGGGGAGACGUCGUAAGGAGCCCGGUGAUAAACGAAAAUGUCUCAGGUACCGUCAGCUGUAAACUGAAAAACGUUACUCGGCCAUCAAGGCUUUUAAAUCAAGUAGUUCAUCGCUAAGGAACCGUGAUGAAAAACGACUAAUCAACUUGUAGCCUUAUCCCCUUUCAGGUAAGAGUGAAAUUGCCAGGAAGCGCUGUUGAUUGAAUUGUGAAAGAAAAUAGACCGAGAGAU